rnacentral:lncRNA from 1 species
GACAACGCCGCCUGCCGAGCUCCGAUGAUUCUAAGAUGCCGCUCCUCGGCCUGCUGUUCGAGAUUUCGGAAAACGUUAUUUUUUUCGCCGCUACUCCCAGCUCCGCCGUUAGCAGCGACAAGAGCGUUGCUCGGGUCAGCGCCUGGUUUCGUCUUCCUCUGGCGCUUCGCGUAGGUCACCUUCUGCCACCCGUGAUCGACAUUUGCGUUGUUAUUGUUGUGGACUUCGGAGGCUCCGUUAACGUUUGAUUCGAUGAGUACUGGUUCCAUGACUUCUUCGAUUCGAAAAGUCGUCGUUUUCAGAAUUUUGUUUGUUUUAAUUUUGGUUUUUUUUUUUUUUUUU